AGGACGAACGCUGGCGGCGUGCCUAACACAUGCAAGUCGAACGCGCUCCAUUCGGUAGCAAUACUGAUGAAGAGCGAGUGGCGAACGGGUGAGUAGCACGUGAGCAACCUGCCCCGAAGACUGGGACAACACCGGGAAACCGGUGCUAAUACCGGAUAUCCCUAUCGGACCGCAUGAUCUGAUAAGGAAAUGGAUUCCGCUUCGGGAGGGGCUCGCGGCCUAUCAGCUAGUUGGUGAGGUAACGGCCCACCAAGGCAUCGACGGGUAGCUGGUCUGAGAGGACGAUCAGCCACACUGGGACUGAGACACGGCCCAGACUCCUACGGGAGGCAGCAGUGGGGAAUCUUGCGCAAUGGGCGAAAGCCUGACGCAGCAACGCCGCGUGGAGGACGAAGGCUUUCUGAGUUGUAAACUCCUUUCAGCAGGGACGAUAGUGACGGUACCUGCAGAGAAGCACGGCAACUACGCGCCAGCAGCCGA
rnacentral:rRNA from 1 species